rnacentral:rRNA from 1 species
AACAAGGCGACGAUUUGUAGCGGGUUUGAGAGGAUGAUCCGCCACACUGGGACUGAGACACGGCCCAGACUCUUACGGGAGGCAGCAGUGGGGAAUAUUGGACAAUGGGCGCAAGCCUGAUCCAGCCAUGCCGCGUGUGUGAAGAAGGCCUUAUGGUUGUAAAGCACUUUAAGCGAGGAGGAGGCUACUUUAGUUAAUACCUAGAGAUAGUGGACGUUACUCGCAGAAUAAGCACCGGCUAACUCUGUGCCAGCAGCCGCGGUAAUACAGAGGGUGCAAGCGUUAAUCGGAUUUACUGGGCGUAAAGCGCGCGUAGGCGGCUAAUUAAGUCAAAUGUGAAAUCCCCGAGCUUAACUUGGGAAUUGCAUUCGAUACCUGGUAGCUAGAAGUUUAGUGGGUU